UACGUAGGGGGGCAAGCGUUGUCCGGAUUUACUGGGCGUAAAGAGCGUGUAGGCGGCCACGCAGGUCCGUUGUGAAAACUGGAGGCUCAACUUCCAGCCGUCGACGGAAACCGUGUGGCUAGAGUCCGGAAGAGGAGAGUGGAAUUCCUGGUGUAGCGGUGAAAUGCGCAGAUAUCAGGAAGAACACCAAUGGCGAAGGCAGCUCUCUGGGAACGGUACUGACGCUAGGAGCGAAAGCGUGGGGAGCGAACAGG
rnacentral:rRNA from 1 species